GGCUUUUGCUUCUUCCUUCCUUAUUUUACUUCAUAAUUUAUUAACUUUCCUUAAUUUCAAUUUUAGUGUUAUGGUACACACGGUACUCCUUUGAAUUUCAUCAUGAAACCAAAACUAGCAUUUGAAGCUUUGAAAAAUUCUAUAAAAUAUAAAGGAAUAAAAUGUUAAACAGGUUCAAAUAAUGUGGCAAUGACUUAAUAAUUGAAACUAUCGAAAUUAUAAUCAAUAUAUAAGUAUAAAUGGUAUUAAUAAUAAUAUUAUAGAGGAGCUUAAAUAUUUCUCUCGUGAUUAAAAUAAAGUCUUUAAAUUGUAUUAGGAAAUAGUUUUAUAAUUGUAUAUAAUCAUUAAAUUACUAUAAACUGUUAUUAUUAUUAGAUAUUUUUCCCACCAUUGUAAAUAUAAUGUUUGUCAAUAAUU